UACAGAGGUCUCAAGCGUUGUUCGGAUUCAUUGGGCGUAAAGGGUGCGUAGGUGGCGUGGUAAGUCGGGUGUGAAAUUUCGGAGCUUAACUCCGAAACUGCAUUCGAUACUGCCGUGCUUGAGGACUGGAGAGGAGACUGGAAUUUACGGUGUAGCAGUGAAAUGCGUAGAGAUCGUAAGGAAGACCAGUGGCGAAGGCGGGUCUCUGGACAGUUCCUGACACUGAGGCGCGAAGGCCAGGGGAGCAAACGGG
rnacentral:rRNA from 1 species